rnacentral:rRNA from 1 species
ACGAACGCUGGCGGCGUGCCUAAUACCUGCAAGUCGAGCGAAGUUUUUCUGGUGCUUGCACUAGAAAAACUUAGCGGCGAACGGGUGAGUAACACGUAAAGAACCUGCCUCAUAGACUGGGACAACUAUUGGAAACGAUAGCUAAUACCGGAUAACAGUAUUUCUCGCAUGAGAGAUAUUUAAAAGUUGGUUAUGCUAACACUAUGAGAUGGCUUUGCGGUGCAUUAGCUAGUUGGUGGGGUAAAGGCCCACCAAGGCGACGAUGCAUAGCCGACCUGAGAGGGUGAUCGGCCACACUGGGACUGAGACACGGCCCAGACUCCUACGGGAGGCAGCAGUAGGGAAUCUUCCGCAAUGGGCGAAAGCCUGACGGAGCAACGCCGCGUGAGUGAAGAAGGAUUUCGGUUCGUAAAGCUCUGUUGUUAGGGAAGGAUGGAUAUGUAGUAACUAUACAUGUAAGAGACGGUACCUAACCAGAAAGCCACGGCUAACUACGUG